rnacentral:tRNA from 1 species
GGUGCGAUACCCAAGUGGUUAAGGGGACGGUCUGCAAAACCGUUAUGCGCAGGUUCGAUUCCUGCUCGCACCUCCA